AUUCAUUUAUUAUAAAAAGUAAAAUAAGCUUCCAACUUAUAAGUCCAAUAUUUGGAUUGAAUA
rnacentral:tRNA from 1 species